rnacentral:rRNA from 1 species
GUGGGGAAUAUUGGACAAUGGGCGAAAGCCUGAUCCAGCCAUGCCGCGUGAGUGAUGAAGGCCUUAGGGUUGUAAAGCUCUUUCAGUAGGGAAGAUAAUGACGGUACCUACAGAAGAAGCCCCGGCUAACUUCGUGCCAGCAGCCGCGGUAAUACGAAGGGGGCUAGCGUUGUUCGGAUUUACUGGGCGUAAAGCGCACGUAGGCGGAUUGGUCAGUUAGAGGUGAAAUCCUGGAGCUCAACUCCAGAACUGCCUUUAAUACUGCCAGUCUAGAAUCCAGAAGAGGUGAGUGGAACUCCUAGUGUAGAGGUGGAAUUCGUAGAUAUUAGGAAGAACACCAGUGGCGAAGGCGGCUCACUGGUCUGGUACUGACGCUGAGGUGCGAAAGCGUGGGGAGCAAACAGGAUUAGAUACCCUAGUAGUCC